UACAGAGGUCCCAAGCGUUGUUCGGAUUCACUGGGCGUAAAGGGUGCGUAGGUGGCCUGGAAAGUUUGAUGUGAAAGCUCGGAGCUUAACUCCGAAAUGGCAUUGAAUACUACUGGGCUUGAGGGUCGGAGGGGAGACUGGAAUUCUCGGUGUAGCAGUGAAAUGCGUAGAUAUCGGGAGGAACACCAGUGGCGAAGGCGACUACCUGGCCUGUUUCUUGACGCUGAGGCGCGAAAGCUAGGGGAGCAAACGGG
rnacentral:rRNA from 1 species